rnacentral:piRNA from 1 species
UGUGAUGACUUGGGAAGCCACUGAUCUCCUU